rnacentral:rRNA from 1 species
AUUGAACGCUGGCGGCAUGCUUACACAUGCAAGUCGAACGGCAGCGCGGGCUUCGGCCUGGCGGCGAGUGGCGAACGGGUGAGUAAUAUAUCGGAACGUACCCAAGAGUGGGGGAUAACGUAGCGAAAGUUACGCUAAUACCGCAUACGAUCUAAGGCUGAAAGCAGGGGAUCGCAAGACCUUGUGCUCCUGGAGCGGCCGAUAUCUGAUUAGCUAGUUGGUGAGGUAAAGGCUCACCAAGGCAACGAUCAGUAGCUGGUCUGAGAGGGCGACCAGCCACACUGGAACUGAGACACGGUCCAGACUCCUACGGGAGGCAGCAGUGGGGAAUUUUGGACAAUGGGGGCAACCCUGAUCCAGCAAUGCCGCGUGAGUGAAGAAGGCCUUCGGGUUGUAAAGCUCUUUUGUCAGGGAAGAAAAGGUCGUGGCUAAUAUCCACGACUGCUGACGGUACCUGAAGAAUAAGCACCGGCUAACUACGUGCCAGCCGCCGCCGUAA